GAUGGAUGAUCUUCAUUGCUCCUCCUCACCACUUCAGGAUGAACAUUGCAGUGGGCAUACCAUGGAGCCAGACCACCAGCAGAGCAUUAAACAAGGACAGAUGUGAAUGCCAGGAUAAAAAUGAAGACAUUCCUGAAGUGCUUACUGAAGCUGUUGUCAAUAGUGUUUCAGAACUUUACAAGUUUUCCUGACCCAGCUUUGAGCAG